GCUGGCCGGGUUGCCUUCCACAGGGUCAUUCAGUGUCUCAGUUUCAUCAUCUGCUACAUGGGGAUAAUACCUUAUCUCAUAGGGUUACUGUAGGAAUUAAAUUACUUAUAUCAUGUAAAGUGCUCAGAAAAAUGCCUGGGGUGUAGUAAGCAUUUGUUAAAUUUGGCAGGUUUUGGAGAAGACGCCCCAUUUUGCAGAUAGGGAAAUGAAAACAUUGAGGUUAAGAAAUGGGCCCAAGGCCCCGAAGCAGGCGAGUGGCCCAGUCAGGACCCACACCCUCGCCAGUCGACUCGGCACUGAGCUGCGUCUUCAAAGAGACUCCUGGGCCCGGCCUCUUCCUCAUCAGCUUCUUCCAGAGCCACCCUCGCCCGCGGCGCUCACUGCAGUCCCUGAGUGCUCCGCAGUCCUCCCAUCCCGGCCCUUCACAGGGCUGUCCCACGUCUCCUGUGGGGCCUUGUCUCCUCCAGGAAGCCCUCCCUGGACCCCCAGACCAGGUUAAGUCCCUGGUAAGUCUCUCCCAUAGGCCCCUCCCCCUCACUUCUUGGCAACAUUUCGUGCAUUAGCAAUUACUCACUGUGUUUCCUGUCUGUCUUCCCUGGCCUGUGGCUCCAGGAGGGUGGGGACCAUGUCUACCUUUUUUUUCUUUUUGAGGAAGAUUAGCCCUGAGAUAACAUCUGCUGCCAAUCCUCCUCUUUUUGCUGAGGAAGACUGGCCCUGAGCUAACAUCUGUGCCCAUCUUCCUCUACUUUAUAUGUGGGACGCCUACCACAGCAUGGCUUUGCCAAGCGGUGCCAUGUCUGCACCCGGGAUCUGAACCAGCGAACCCUGGGCCGCUGAAGCAGAACAUGAGAACUUAACCACUGUGCCACCGGGCCGGCCCCCCAUGUCUACCUUAAAACCUGUGCUGUGGGACCGUCUCCUGCCCUCCUCUCCAUCCCUUGGAUUCCAUUUGUGGCUCAAAGUUGACUUGAAUCCUGGUGGAGUUGCAAAGACUCACAUCCUCCUCGUACACCUGUAAAAAGAGGAUGUAAGAGGAGUGUUCUCCUUGAUCCACCUGUAUCAGGAGAGAGGAAAACCGUAACAUGUGACGGGAAAUUCAGGAUAGCAGAGAGCAGCCCCACCGUCAACCUCCUGAGCCCUUGGAAAUGCGCGGAAGCCCCCUUCAGACCUCCGCUGGAGUCUCCAUCUGCUGGCGCAUUCUCAUUAGUUAAACUUGCUUUCUCUCAAGCAUCAGCGCUCAUAACAAAUACAGAUAAGGUUUCAGAUCCAAAAUCUUUUUUCUCUAUCAUCCAUGAUUGUAAGUUUUGCUUUCUAUUUUUCAUUGCAAAUAUCCUAGCGUUUCCACUAUAUUAUGGAUUAAACAAAAAUUUUGUAGGCUAGCUUGGGAACUUUGCAAUGCAAAAUUCUUCCUCACCUCUCCCCAAGUGGGUAAAAAUGUGCUGAGUUUGAGACUGAUUUACAAAUGAGGGUUUGGAGCAUAACCUGUCUAGAAGCUAUUGGGCAUAUGUAACCACAAAAUUGUGUAUCUGUGAAUUUGUUCACCCCAAAGGGAAUUUUGCCUUUCCUUCUUCCCUUCCUUCUUCCCUCCCUCCCUCCCUUCCUCCCUCCCUCCCUUCCUUCCUUCCUUCUUCUCUGUCUCUCUUUUGUCUGCAUUUGUUAUGAGUCUGUCUCUCUUCCUCUUUCUCUCUCUUUCUCUCUUUCUUUCUGACAUCCAGUACCCACCGACCCUGCUUCUUAUAAUGCAUCCCAAUAUUGCUUUGAGGGCACUACCACUCUGUCACUCUAAGUCCAUGCAAUCAGGUGAAUGUUGACCCACUCCCAAGGGUGGCAUGCGCCUAGGACCAGGCAAUCAACACAUCACCUUUCCCCGUGUCACUAUGGAGCCAAGUCAGGCCAGCUAGAGUCAGUGAAACUCAAUUAGUUGUUUGACUUAUUGGAUUACCUUUUUCCUUUUCCCAAGAGGGUGUAAGGUUUGGAAUUAUGGCCGCCAUCUUGCAAUCACAGGAAAGUGAAGCCAACUUGGAGGAGAGCUGAGAAGCUGGCACUUGGAGUCAUUCUUUGAGCCUCGGAUCAGGUUGCACUCGAGGCCCCAGCUACCCCUGAGGUUUCAGCUCUGUGAGUCAAUAAAUCCACUUUGCUUAAACCAGUUGGGUUGGGUUUUCUGUCCCUCAGUAACCAAAAGAGCACUCACUGGUUCCCUCAUUCUCUCUAACAUCAAUUUGCUUCUGCAUCGGUGAGCCCCAUGGCCGACUCACAGAUCCCCACCGCUGAUCUGAAUGCUCCCCUCUCCUCCCUCUUUGGAGGAUGAACACUGCACACAUGUCUUGCUGAAAGACAAGGAACUGUUUCUAAACAGUCUGAGCUUCAGUCUCCUCUGUAGCCCCAAAUAGGCAAGUCACAUAUGUUCCCAGGGCGCCAGCAGACACUCGAGCUGUCAUCUGGCAUCCCGGAGCAGUUCUCCUGCAGGGAGAGGCAGCCAGCCUCAGGCAAAACCAAGGGGGUGGAGAAUUCAGGGUGUUCUGAGUCUCCUGAUGGCCAGACUGACCAGACCUGCCUCUCUUGGCCCAUCUGUGGCGGCAGAGAGAAUUCAUGCCAUGUUUGGAGGAAUAGUAAACCUGGCAGUAAGGUGAAGAGAAAGGUGGUUAAAGGCAAGGGCUUUGGCAUCAGCCCGAUCUGGGUCCAAUUCUCAGCUCACUGCUCACAAGCUGUGUGCCGGUGGCAAGUUACUGAGCCCCCUGAGGCUCAGUGAUCCCAUCUGUAAGAUGGGGAUGGCAGUACCCACCUCACAAAGCCUCUGUGGGGACUGAAUGAUGAAAUGGGGUAAAGCACAACGCUUGAAGUAAGUACUCCAUAUAUGGGGGGAAAAAUAAUAAUUCUUAUCCUUAGAUAUCUCCCAGCCUGGCCUAACCCAUAAGCACACUAAUGCAUCCUGCUAACUGGAAGGGUUCUAAAGAUGGAGAAGGCGAAAGCUAGCUACCGUUUGGCUACUCUGCAGUAGGAACCACGCGGUGAAGAACGUGAUUUUAGCUUCAGGUUACUUAGGUUCCAGUCUGGCUCUGUCCCUUAUGAGUUGUAUGACCUUGAAAAAGCCACAAGUGACCUCUCUGAGCCUCCAUUGCCCAAUCUGUAAAAUGGGCAAAUGGAAGCUUAUCUCAGAGACUUGCGUGAGGAGGCAAUGAGCUAACACAUGGACCUGCUUGGUCCGUUGUUCAAAGCUCAACAACGGGUGGGUACACCUUGGGUGUGUCCAUGCGCUGGCCACACAAGUGAUGGUCCGUAAUUAUGUGAGCACAGGAAGGAAGCUGCUGUUAUCUUUGUUUAAGUGGAAUUAAUUAUUCCCUAGACAAGGGAUGUAAUUUAUGGUGAGAGAAGAGGAAGAGAAGAAAAAAGAGGAGGAAUAAUGAGAAAACAGCAUGUGCUACGGAGAAGAGCUCUGUGGAGUGACGCUGUCUGGAGAUCUUUAUGCAGGCUGCUGCUCUCUGCGAGCUGAUGGCAGGAGCGCAGGCCCAGGCGUCAGAAGAGCUGGGUUCUAGCCAGCACCUCGUCAUCUGGAAGCUCACAUCCCUUUAGUUCUGGCUGAGGUGCUUCCCUUAACUGUGUGACCUUGGAUGGGUCACAGCUUCUCUGAGCCUUGUGUUCCUUCUGCGAAAUGGGGCUAUUAACACUUGCCUCUUUCACAGGAUGGAUGUGGGGAUUAAGUGAAGUGUGGAAUGUGGAAACACUUAAAACUCUCUAGAAUCCUCUUUGGCCCCAAUGACCUAAAUAUUCUACGGUAUGAGUCCUGCCAUUUUCCAAUGCACAUUAAAUACUUUUAACACUAUGUUUGUUUCACGCCCUGGAGGAUGGAC
ensembl:lncRNA